rnacentral:lncRNA from 1 species
GAAGAAAAUCAAAGAUAAGAGAAGGAGAAAUUGAAGGAUUCAUGGAGGUCUUCGAGUUUUGGCCAUGGAUGAUCUUGGGAUGCUUUGGGCUGAGUUUGUAGGCUGUGGAAGGGCUGUUUUCUUGGAGUUUAUUGAUGGGAGAAACUCUUUAUGAAUAUAUGCUGAAUUAUUGAGGGGAAAGAAGAAGGAGAAGAGCUUGCUUCUUUGUGAAGAACAAGAGAAGCCUUUGGGAUUAUUUGAAGGAGGGGGUUGUCGUGGAUUAGAGAGGAGAGAGGGGAGAGGAUUUUUGGCUGAUGUUUUGGUCUCUGGAAAUGAAGGGGAGAGGGUGGUAUUUAUAGAAUUGGAGAGGCUUGUAUUCUUAAUGGGUAAGUAUUGAAGAGGGGUCUUUUUGCAAUUAGGAGUAACUUGAAAUAAUCUAGAGGGACUUCUAGGCAAUUUCAUUUAAGUUAUCUUAAAAUAAAAUGCUAAAUGAAAAGCCAAGUGGAAAUGCAUAUGGAAUAAGUGUAUGCAUGAAACACAUACAAUCCUAGCCAAUUUAAAGAGGGUAAAUUACUAUCAAUUAAGCAUAUAAACUUUCUAGUGUGAGAAAAUAAAUUCUUAUGUUACUAAAACUAAAUUCACGUAAUUCACAUAAUUUCACGUGUUCAAUUAUAUUAAACACAUGAAAUACAUUUUAGUUGCGCAAUUAGAGAAUAAAAUCAAAAAUAUUCAUGUAGACAUAUAAUGCACAGUAGUUCACAUAAUUUCACAUAAAUAGCAAAUAAAGCAAAUUGAAAAGAAACUAAUUAAAUUCGCACAUACAACACAUAUGCAUGCAAAGGAGACGAGAGGAAAAUACGGAAAACCGGGUAUCGGAAACGCGGGGUGUUACAAUCUCCCCCCCUUAAAAGAAUUUUGUCCUCAAAAUUUGAGAAGUUUACACUAAAAUCACCUUGGUACAUAUAUCAUGAAAUGAAUUAUAGAACUCAAACCUCUGUAAAUUCCUAUGUUUUUCUAACACGAAUCGUUGUAUAUGAAUCAGUCCAAACUAAAUAUAAAUAGUACCUGAUUACUUUAGCGGGGAACCGGAGGAGGAUCACAUGUGCCUUGAGCCGUAAUGAGGAAUCCAGUGUAUUAAACACUGCUCUGAUACCACCGUGUAACACCCUCCAUGACUUUUACUUAACUAAGAAAUGUUUUGGAAAAAUGGUCUUUAUUAAAAUUUCGAUACGAUUUGAACCUUGAGAAAUCACUUUAUAAUUUGUGAAAGCAUUUUUCGUUUACUUAAAAUCAUAACCCGAAUUUAAAAGAAACCAUUUUCAUAAAGAGUGCUACAUACAUGACUAUGAACGGGGUUUACAAAAUACUCGUAAUACAACGGAAGAAAAUAAACUUUAUUUAUAUACCCCGGUUUAAUAGACUAGAUUCCAAAAUCAGAGUACAAAAUAAACUCGUAAAGAUCUCCGUUAUACAUUGGACUUUUAAAAGGAAAAAGUGGAGAGAUACUUUUGUAAGAAAUCCGGAGACGACAUAUAAGGCAUCAAGGCUUGUGAUUCCUCCAACUCCGCUCCGCUGCGCCACUCUGAUUACAUUGAAAACCUGAAAAGGAGAUUCGCAUAAAGCGUGAGCCUAACCACUGGCUCAGUAAGAACAUUGGCCUGACGAUACUCACACCUCUCUCAACGUGUCACUCACGCCCUACGGGAGUCCUAAAGUCCUCGUCUAUGUUCUUUUCAUCUAUGUCUUUUAUGGCAUAACUAUAUUCAUUGAUUCAAUAUCAUGACAUUCAUUCAUAUCACAUAUAAUUGGCCACGUAAGAAACUUAACACAUAAAAUUAGGCAUAUAAUAAACAUGCAAUCAUUCAUUCAUAUCACAUAUAAUUGGCCACAUAAGAAACUUAAUACAUAAAAUUAGGCAUCUAAUAAACUUGCAAUCAUUCAUUCAUUCACUUAACAUCAAUCUCACAUUUACCUGUUACUUUAAACAUUCACGGAUACUUAACAUCCAACUUUCUUUUAUAAUCGGGUACUUUACACCCUUCUAACAUUUAAGGGUACUUAACACCCUUUUUAACUUUACUAUGCAAUAUGCAAUAUGCAACUUUAGACUUCUAGACUUUUCAUGAAAUAAUGCAUGAGGAAAACAUUGGGCCCGUUCGGAAAAACAAUCGUGGAGUUCGGCAAUAAGCCGUGUAUUUUGGAGCUUGUGAUCUAUAACUUUACUAUAGUCACGACUAUAACUUUACUAUAGCCGAGUUAGUGGUUUAUAAUCCCGAUUCCUAUGUGAAUCAGUCCCUAUGUGGACAGGCCCCUAUGUGGACCCCAACUAUCAACCACUAACCGGAAUAUAGUCACGGCUAUAACUUUACUAUAGCCGAGUUAGUGGUUUAUAAUCCCGAUUCCUAUGUGAAUCAGUCCCUAUGUGGACAGGCCCCUAUGUGGACCCCAACUAUGAACCACUAACGGAAUACCAGCCCCCCGUAUCCCAUACUUAUUCACCUAGAUCCACAACCAAUUUCCAAACAUUUUUAACUUUGAAAAAUCAUGAUUUAUGCAUCCUAGACUUACUAAUGAAUCAUAUGAUUUGUCUAUCUUUACUUUCACAUAAACAAACAACAAAGUAACAAGUACCAUACCAACUAUACUUCAAUCUUUAAUCAAAUCAUUAAACACGUAAAUCAUAUAGAACAUAACACUUUCACAUCAUAAGUACACAUAAACAUUUCAUAACCCAAGGUAGCACAAAUGAGGGCAUUCUUCAACUUUUACCAUAUCAUAGUCACAUAAUCACAUAAUCAUAUAACCACAUAAUCACACAUUCGUAUCAUUAAAAAUAUCACUUAUAUCGCAUAUAAAUGCACCUUAGGCCAUAGCUAUAUAAUAUUUCACAUAAAGCAUCGAGUACUUUACCUUUACCACAAGAUCACAUAACAACAAUUUAGAUAUAUAAGUAUAAUUCAUAAGCCAUGGAUCGGAGUAUAAUCACGACCACGUAGGCAUAAAUAUAUAUAUUUAUAUAUAGUAGCAUACUUAUAAUACAUAAGCCAUGGGUUGGAGUAUAAUCACAACCACGCAGGCGUAAAUACGUAUAUAGAUAUAUAUGUAUUAUAUAUAUAUCAUAUGUAUAGAUACUUGUACAAGAUUAAACAACAAUCAAGCAUAUGUUUCAUUUAUCACACAAGAAGUUUUAAUCCACAUAAUUUCAGUCAAGUAUAUAAUCAAAUACUCAUAACAAUAAUCAAGAACUUUUAGAUCAUCUAAAUAGCACAUAAGUUCUAUAAACAAUUUAUGAUCAUUCCUUACAUUAUAAUCAUACUCUAACUUAUCCCCGGUCACUAAUUUCUUCAAGAGUUAUUUUAUAGGCUAAAUAUUCUAAAUCAUUUAUUCUAAGUUUAGUCAUGCUAUUAAGGUCAUGCAUCAAGAGCUUAAAUCAUGCUCAUAAUUAAUUCCAUCACUUCAAAGAAAUUCAUUUUGGAAAAUAGGGCAGUUUUAAUACUUUAAUUUUGAAAAUUCAUUUCUCUUUAAUCAUGCAUCCACAAUUUCCGAAACUUUACAAUAAUACUCUCCUCGAAGUUAAGAGUACCCAUAUAAAACAGUUUUCGAAAAUACCUAUCCAAUUAAGAGGAAUACGUAAAACCGUACAGCUCUGUUGUCGAAAAUCCAGAAACAGAGCAGUGACUUCAAAAAUACCAAAUAAAAUUAUAUUAUUUUCAAAACACCGUGAAAUUUUGAUAAAGAUUACAUCCAUAAGUCUAAGAUCUAAUCCAAGUGGAAUCACUAUGAUCGGAGUAAUACAAGAUCAGAUUUAACAUGCAUUUCUUUCAUGACACAUAAUCUGUGCAGUUUCAGAAAAUAAAUCACCACUUAAUCAUUUUUAAUCCAAAUAAGGCACACUUUAUAUCAAAUUCAAGAUAACAGAGUGAUCUAUAUUCUCUAGGAAUUUCACAUUUUUAGAAAAAUAAAUGGUCUACGAAAUAUGGCUUAAACUCCGUGACUAUGAAUCUGUAAAUUUCAAUCUAAGCAUCUAGUUCAAGAUUCUAAACUCAAUCAUCCUAUAGUCAUAAAACCCAAACUUAAACACAUAAGAUUAACAUAAAAACAUUGGUUAACUUAACAUGCAAUUCAAUUUCAGUAAAGACCAAGGGGUCCUUACCCAUUUGAAGAAAAUCAAAGAUAAGAGAAGGAGAAAUUGAAGGAUUCAUGGAGGUCUUCGAGUUUUGGCCAUGGAUGAUCUUGGGAUGCUUUGGGCUGAGUUUGUAGGCUGUGGAAGGGCUGUUUUCUUGGAGUUUAUUGAUGGGAGAAACUCUUUAUGAAUAUAUGCUGAAUUAUUGAGGGGAAAGAAGAAGGAGAAGAGCUUGCUUCUUUGUGAAGAACAAGAGAAGCCUUUGGGAUUAUUUGAAGGAGGGGGUUGUCGUGGAUUAGAGAGGAGAGAGGGGAG